AUGCGGGCUACCCACCCCUCUUUCACUCUUCACCCUCCUCUCCCGCAAGGAUUUUCGCCCCUCGGUUGACCCCUUAAACUCUGCUGUGCGCCUCCCUUCGAUCUCCACCCGCAGUGGCCGUGGACUGAUGCUAUGUCCAGAGAUAAGAAGACUGAGGCCAAAGGGAGGGAAGAACUUUUCGAACGUGGUGGCGAGACUGCGACUUUUUUCAAAUCAAAGGCCCUUCCACCAGCAGGCCCUGCUGGACCUCCUACAUCCUAAUAUGUCUCAGAGCCUGCUGCCUGGGGAACCCACCUUGUGCCUAGGAGAACUUGCUGUGUGUCCCAGCUGGUGGGAAUUGACCCAGAAGAGACUGUGACCUUGAAGCCACCAGUGAGAAAGAUGACCUGAAAAGAGGCGGACAAUGAAGCCAUUGCCUUCCUGACUGUGUUCCAACGGACAAGGAACCAAACCAGCUCCCCAGAAAGGACCAGUUUUGGAACCAAGCGUGACUCCCAACCUCUCCAGCUUGGAGCAUGUAAUAUCCGCCACACAGGCUUCUGUCUCCAGCCCUCCCAAUCCCAGACCACAAAAGGUGAUUUCUUACAGCCAUUAGCAUAAUUACCCGACUGCGACGCUAUGGAGAAGCGAUUAGAUGAGCCUGAGAUUUUUGCACAGUUAUUUGUCUCAAGUAAGUCACCUGAAGUUCAUCUGCCAUCAGGAUUCAUAGCUGCAUUCUCUAAUCGCAGGGAAUUAUUUUGCUAAUAACAGAGGUACCUUGAUCUAAUUUAGUUUUAAUGCCAGGAGGUGCCCUCCUAGAAUAAUCAGCUUCAGGGCAAUUCCAAUUUCCAGGUUUGUUACACGUUCUGGAGAGAAGAUUCGAUUCAAGGAGGCUGAAGUUACCUCUUUAUCACCCAAAGUCAUCUAGGGGCGAAAUGGAAUCUACCUCUGCCUGCUUGCAGAAAAAUGCGGGGAGAGGCCCAGAGAGAGGGAGCCAGAGAGAGGGAGGAGCAGGGGGGCUCCCAGAUAAGAGGAACCCCUGGAAGACACCACCGGCGGGUGAGGGCUGGGCUGAAUUAGGACCACAAGGCAUUCCUCGGGAGAACCUGGAUUUUC